rnacentral:rRNA from 1 species
UACAGAGGGGGCAAGCGUUGUUCGGAAUUACUGGGCGUAAAGGGCGCGUAGGCGGCCUGUUAAGUCGAACGUGAAAUCCCCAGGCUCAACCUGGGAACUGCGUCCGAUACUGGGAGGCUUGAAUUCGGGAGAGGGAUGUGGAAUUCCAGGUGUAGCGGUGAAAUGCGUAGAUAUCUGGAGGAACACCGGUGGCGAAGGCGGCAUCCUGGACCGACAUUGACGCUGAGGCGCGAAAGCUAGGGGAGCAAACGGG